UCAGGAUGAACGCUAGCGGCAGGCUUAAUACAUGCAAGUCGUGGGCAGCAGGUCCGUAGCAAUACGGAUGCUGGCGACCGGCAAACGGGUGCGGAACACGUACGCAACUUUCCUUCAAGCGGGGAAUAGCCCAGGGAAACUUGGAUUAAUACCCCAUAAAAUAGUAGGGUGGCAUCACCUAAUUAUUAAAGCUCCGGCACUUGAAGAUGGCGUGCGCCUGAUUAGGUAGUUGGCGGGGUAACGGCCCACCAAGCCUACGAUCAGUAACUGGUGUGAGAGCACGACCAGUCACACGGGCACUGAGACACGGGCCCGACUCCUACGGGAGGCAGCAGUAAGGAAUAUUGGGCAAUGGAGGCAACUCUGACCCAGCCAUGCCGCGUGGAGGAUGAAGGUCCUCUGGAUUGUAAACUUCUUUUAUCUGGGAAGAAACCCACGGUUUCUACUGUGGUUGACGGUACCAGAUGAAUAAGCACCGGCUAACUCCGUGCCAGCAGCCGCGGUAAUACGGAGGGUGCAAGCGUUAUCCGGAUUCACUGGGUUUAAAGGGUGCGUAGGUGGGUAGGUAAGUCAGUGGUGAAAUCCCCGAGCUUAACUUGGGAACUGCCGUUGAUACUAUCUAUCUUGAAUAUCGCGUAGGUAAGCGGAAUAUGUCAUGUAGCGGUGAAAUGCUUAGAUAUGACAUAGAACACCAAUUGCGAAGGCAGCUUACUUCAAGAUUAUUGACACUGAGGCACGAAAGCGUGGGGAUCAAACAGGAUUAGAUACCCUGGUAGUCCACGCCCUAAACGAUGGAUACUCGACAUCAGCGAUAUACUGUUGGUGUCUGAGCGAAAGCAUUAAGUAUCCCACCUGGGAAGUACGACCGCAAGG
rnacentral:rRNA from 1 species